rnacentral:rRNA from 1 species
GCCCCGGUAAACGGCGGCCGUAACUAUAACGGUCCUAAGGUAGCGAAAUUCCUUGUCGGGUAAGUUCCGACCUGCACGAAUGGCGUAAUGAUGGCCAGGCUGUCUCCACCCGAGACUCAGUGAAAUUGAACUCGCUGUGAAGAUGCAGUGUACCCGCGGCAAGACGGAAAGACCCCGUGAACCUUUACUAUAGCUUGACACUGAACACUGGUCCUUGAUGUGUAGGAUAGGUGGGAGGCUUUGAAGUGUGGACGCCAGUCUGCAUGGAGCCGUCCUUGAAAUACCACCCUUUAAUGGCUGGUGUUCUAACGUAGACCCGUGAUCCGGGUUGCGGACAGUGUCUGGUGGGUAGUUUGACUGGGGCGGUCUCCUCCCAAAGAGUAACGGAGGAGCACGAAGGUUAGCUAAUCCUGGUCGGACAUCAGGAGGUUAGUGCAAUGGCAUAAGCUAGCUUGACUGCGAGAGUGACGGCUCGAGCAGGUGCGAAAGCAGGUCAUAGUGAUCCGGUGGUUCUGAAUGGAAGGGCCAUCGCUCAACGGAUAAAAGGUACUCCGGGGAUAACAGGCUGAUACCGCCCAAGAGUUCAUAUCGACGGCGGUGUUUGGCACCUCGAUGUCGGCUCAUCACAUCCUGGGGCUGAAGUAGGUCCCAAGGGUAUGGCUGUUCGCCAUUUAAAGUGGUACGCGAGCUGGGUUUAGAACGUCGUGAGACAGUUCGGUCCCUAUCUGCCGUGGGCGCUGGAGAAUUGAGGGGGGCUGCUCCUAGUACGAGAGGACCGGAGUGGACGCAUCACUGGUGUUCGGGUUGUCAUGCCAAUGGCACUGCCCGGUAGCUAAAUGCGGAAAAGAUAAGUGCUGAAAGCAUCUAAGCACGAAACUUGCCCCGAGAUGAGUUCUCCCUGAGACUUUAAGUCUCCUGAAGGAACGUUGAAGACGACGACGUUGA